rnacentral:tRNA from 1 species
AGGGUUGUGGCUCAGUGGUAGAGCACUUGCCUAGCAUGUGUGAGGCCCUGGGUUCGAUCCUCAGCACCACAU